AACAAUGAACCCGAAUACGAAGCUUGUAUCCUAGGACUUGAGGAAGCCAUCAACCCACGGAUUAAAACCCUGGAUGUAGUUGACGAAAAGAGACUAGCAGCUAUAUGCCAUGGCCAACUAUAUCAGAGACGGAUGAGGAGAGCAUUUGAUCUGAAAGUACGCCCUCGGGAGUGUCAAGUCGGUGAAUUGGUACUCAAAAGAAUUCUUCCUCC
rnacentral:lncRNA from 1 species